GUCUGAUCAAAGGGGCAAUCCAGGAGGAAACUUUUGACGCUAUUUUUGCUUGAACUAGGUACGGGGAUGACAAGGACAAGAAUAGUGCUAGUUGUAAUAGGAAAUCUUAAUCUUGUAUUUGGACGGCAUUGUAUUAUGGUAUUAGUUUACAAGUUUUUAUCUUUUGGUCUGUAUUUUGGUUUGUAUAUUCGGAUAAUUGGUAGUAUGUAGAUGUUAUAUUAAAGAGUUUUAGCGUUAUUGAUUUGCUAUCCAAAGAAUAAGGAAUUCAAAA